ensembl:lncRNA
CUCAAAACUACAGACGUCCUAACCAUUUAAUAGUCGGAUGGAUGGUUGGGGAGAUCAAAGAAUGCUUGAAUAUUUGGCGGGUCAGUUUCAACUCCGAUCCACUAGGGGGCGCGAAGAGACUGCUAGCGCGGGGUCCAUCCGGGGAUUCGCCGCUCUAGGCCCUAGCUCGUCUCUCAACUGCAGUUCCGCCAGCGCCCGACAGAUGGAGGGUGGGUCCUGUCUCCGAGUCGCCGGGAACCGUCCAGCAUCUUCUCACGUCGUCCAGUUUGACCUGCAGCCGACAUUCCUGGCGCCCCGGGUCAGUAUCUGAGUGUCAUCUGCUCAGUGCCUGGCAGGUGUCUGGUGCUCAGCAGCUGUGGAAUAAUUGCCCAGCAGGAGAGGACAGGACAGACACAUCCCAGUGAGGUGGCGUGGCCCAUCAUGUCACGGAGAAUCAGAGAAAGACUGCUUGUGGCCAGCCAGCCCGGGGAGAGGUGGAGGAUCCAGCUUCCAGACUCUGUACAGAGUCAUCUGAGUUUGCACAAAAGAUGAUCUGAAAAGCCGUCUCUGUGUCAGAUGCAGAUGAGCUGUUGUCCUAUGUGGAGUAAUGAACUUCUGUCCUGGGAAUAAAAGGACACGUGGUGACCGGGUGGCAUCCAGGUUGCUCAUCCAGGGCUUCUUGAUCGUUGCAGAGGAAGCAGCACGGUGCACAGGGGUCCCUGAGAGGUGUCCCCAUCCUGUCAAGAGACAGCUGGCCCAGACGAGUCCACUGCGUGCAGAGGCGUCAUGGAAGCUGUCAUGUCAGGAGCAUUCUAGACCGUGCUGUCCUUGAGAUGUUGGCUUGAAGAAAGGCAAGGUAACAUCGGAGAGCAAACCCUUGUCGUGACCUCCUGCCCUGUUGACCUCCCCAUCAUGCUGGGGGUGCUGCCUUGGAGGACACCUCGGGGAUGGGAACACUGGCCUCUCAGGAUGGUGACCCGGGUUCCAGCUUCCCUGGAGGAGCCUCCUCAUGGUUGUUCUGGGUCUGAUCACAGCCACUUGCGUAGCAGACUGAAGAGGGGUGUUGCUGCAUGACCACCGCCAGACCUUCUUCUCCUGUUGCCUCAGCACAGUAUGGAAGGGCUUGGCCCCAUGUGACCAGGUCAGGGGCCUGGGUAAGGCCUGAGACCUUGGGACCUUGGGAUUCACAGCUGGAGACCUUCAGCUGGCUCUGCCCCUGCCCCCUAGCAGGUGCCACAGGGCACAGCAGACCCAGAAGACUGGUUUCCUUCCAUCUGGACCAGGUCCUCCAGUGGCCUCCAUGUCCCCCUCUCUGCUCCUGGUGUAACUUUUAGAGCCAGGAGUUCCUGUUGGAGGCGUCUCUGCUGGGCAUCUUGUCCUCUCACCCACUUCAAUAAAUCUUGAAACAGCCCUGCCGCUUGUUUCUUUUGUUUCCUUUAAUCCCUGCCUCUGUGUGCACAGCUGGGUGGAGAGACCAUGGGUCACAGGGGCAGGUCUUCCAGUUUUCACUCACUGAGACUUUCUACUUCACACACUCCUGAGGCCUGACCUGAGGAUGGGAUGUAGAAUUGCAAAAUGCCAUGGGUUUAACCCGUCCCAAGUGCUCUGGGGGCUCAGGUUUCGGAGAGAAGGGAGCUGUUAGAAUUGUUGGCAGAGGAACGUUUGCACCAGGGCUUUGGAAGAGAGUAUGAGGGUGGGCUGGACAUAGAGAGAGUCAGGCACUGAAGUCCUCCCGGAGGGCAGGAGAGCCCUGGGGUGGAAGUACAUGUGGUGAAUUUAGGGAGACGGUUUUGAGCAGGGGUAGAAGAGGGGUACAGUAGGAAUGGCUGCCUCGGGAGGACUCUGGGGGCAUGGUGGGCAAAGGCCAGGUGUUGGGCUUAUAUAAGGGUUCACGGGUAGUCAAAAAUCCAGAGUUAGUCAAAAAUCCAAAUUGCGACUUCCUGGCGGUCCAGUGGUUAAGACCAUGCUUGCACAGGUUCGAUCCCUGGUCAGGGAGCUAGGAUCCCAUGUGUCAUGCAGUGUAGCCAAAACAAAAAAAAAACGGACAUGUUUUUGACCAUUCACCUUGUUCACUUUCAAAUUGUAAAUGAUGCUCACCCCAACCCAGCCUUUUAGGUCUGCCCUCCCCUGCCUUCUGCCACCCUUGCCCACCUGACCCUCAGCCCCAGGAGAGGUCUCCCACUGUCCAGGGAAGACACCUGGGGCCCCCUCAUGGCCCAUGGUCUGUGUCCACCCUCAUCUCACACAUCACAGUCCAGAAGCACCACAGGCCCAGCCAUGCUACCACAUAAUGUUGCUGACCACGCCGCCACUUUCCCAGCCUGUGUACACGCCUGGAAACCCCCUUUCAUUUCAGAUGCUUGCCUGACUCAGCUUGUGUCACUUCCUGCAGGAAGCCUUCACUGGCUAAACCACCACCCAGCCUGGAUUCCCUGCCCUUCCUUUCAUUCACAUCAAGUGUCAGUUUUGUGCACAGUGGGCUUCUCAGUUUCAACCCCUGGGUCAGGAAGAUCCCCUGGAGAAGGAAAUGGCUUUCAUUCACAUAAAGGGUCAAUUUGGGGCAGGCCUAAUUCUAGGAAUCAGUAAAUGGAAGAAGGC